CCUACGGGAGGCAGCAGUGGGGAAUAUUGCACAAUGGGGGGAACCCUGAUGCAGCAACGCCGCGUGGGUGAAGAAGGACUUCGGUUUGUAAAGCCCUGUCAGCAGGGAAGAAAAUGACGUUACCUGACCAAGAAGCCCCGGAUAAAUCCGUGCCAGCAGCCGCGGUAAUACGUAGGGGGAAAGCGUGAUCCGGAUUUACGGGGGGUAAAGGGGGCGUAGACGGCGAGGCAAGGCUGGAGUGAAAGCCCGGGGCCCAACCACGGGACUGCGUUGGAAACUGGGUAGCUGGAGUGCAGGAGGGGUACGCGGAAUUCCUGGUGUAGCGGUGAAAUGCGUAGAUAUUAGGAGGAACACCGGUGGCGAAGGCGGCUUACUGGACUGUAACUGACGGUGAGGCCCGAAGGCGUGGGGAGCAAACAGGAUUAGAUACCCGUGUAGUC
rnacentral:rRNA from 1 species